CUGUGGGAACUUGGUAACAAGCUUAAGAUUGGUGGAUGCAUAUCGCUGUCUAUGCUGAUUGGCUUAGCUCCCCUAUAUAAGCGAUGGCCAUAUGAAAUAAAGGGCCUUUUUUGAAACCCAACCGGACGGAGGGUCGUUAUUAUCGCUGCUGGACGGCGAUAAAUGGUGGCCCGUACGGGGAGCCCCCUUUCUCUGUUUCCAACAGUGCACUGAGAGGGAGACCUUCCAGUUUUGCUGAGACAUAAAAGAGACUUUGGUAUCACCGCUGCCGUGGUGACAGCUGUUGCCGCCUCCGCUGCUGCCGCCGCUGCCGCUGCUACUGCACUUGCCGUUGCUAUUCCUACAGCCAAGGAGAUUAAUCAACUGUCUACGAAUACCGCAGAAGCUCUACAAACCCAGAGUGAAAUUAAUGAUCAUCUCGCUGCGGG